rnacentral:lncRNA from 1 species
GCUUUGGGGCCAGGUGUGGAGGCUCACGCCUGUAAUCCCAACACCUUGGGAGGCCAAGGUGGAAGGAUCACUCAAGGCCAGGAGUUCAAAACCAGCCUGGACUACACAGUGAGACCCCCAACUCUACAAAAAAAAAAAAAAUUAGCCAGGUGUGGUGGCACCUGCCUGUAGUCCUACCUACUGGAGAGACUGAGAGGAAGAGAGAAUUGCUUGAGCCCAGGAGUUCGUGGUUACAGUGAGCCAUGAUCACCCCACUGUACUUCAUCCUGGGAAACAGAGUGAGACCAUGUCUUUUUAAAAAAAAAAAAAAAAAGCCAGGCGCAGUGGCUCACACCUGUAAUCCCAGCACUUUGAGAGGCCGAGGCGGGCGGAUCACAAGGUCAGCAGAUCAAGACCAUCCUGGCUAACACGGUGAAACCCAGUCUCUACUAAAAAUACAAAAAAUUAGCCAGGCAUGGCGCCUGUAUUCCCAACUACUCCAGAGGCUGAGGCAAGAAAAUGGCAUGAACCCAGGAGGCGGGGCCUGCAGUGAGCCGAGAUUCCACUAAGGCACUCCAGCCUGGGAGACUGAGCGAGUCUCCGCCUCAAAAAAAAAAAAAGGCAGUGUUGAGAUUAUAUCCUAUGUCCUAUUUCAGUCUUUUCCUAAUUUCACCCCAAAAACGUAACUCUCCGAAAAGAUUUAUCCUGUAAGUCAAUACAGCCAACCUGAUUUGGGAUAGUUAAUCUAAGACUAUUAUGAUUUAAUUAUAUUUAUAUAUGUUAAUUUGCUCUUAUAAUACCACUCAGUUGUCUUACAAAGAACAAAUUACUUUUAGUCAUACAACUAUUCAUAUUAUGAUGCUGAUUUUUUCUUCACUUUUACAAACCUUAAGUGCACACAGCUUUUUAGGUCAAAUUUUAGGCUUACAUUUUACAAGACCCCUCUGUCGGUUGAUUUUACAUUUAUAAAAUAAGACAGAUGUCUAGCACCCCAAUAAUAUAUAAACAAGCAAUAUCAUUUCAAUAAUACUCUUCUUAAAAAGUCCAUCUGGGCCGGGCGUGGUGGCUCACGCCUGUAAUCCCAGCACUUUGGGAGGCCGAGUAUGGGUGGAUCACGGGUCAGGAGAUGGAGACCAUCCUGGCUAACACGGUGAAAACCCCGCUCUAUUAAAAGACACAAAAUGGCUUUGGCGUGGUGGCAGGCACCCAGUAGUCCCAGUUACUUGGGAGGCUGAGGCAGGAGAAUGGUGUGAACCUGAGGCACACAGCUGCAGGAGCCAACAUCGCGGGCCACUGCACUCCAGCCUAGGUGUGACAGAGCGACUGGCCUCAAAAAAAAAAAAAAAGUCCAUCUGUGUGUACUCACUUCAGCAGCACAUACACUAAAAUUGGAAUGACACAGAGAAGAUUAGCAUGACCCCUGCACAAGGAUGACAUGAACAUUCAUGAUGCAUUCCAUACUAAAGGGAAAAAAAGUCAACACUGAAAUAAAUGAUGCUGAACAUUUACUGAAUGACAAAUAAAUGAACACCUCUUUAGAAAAUUCAUUUGUUUAAAAGCAAAGGUCAGGACUGAAAAAAAGAGGAGAAAAGGCUCAACUAAAUAUAUAAACUGUAAAUAAGAUAUACUGGUUCAGGAAGCAGUUACGUACUGCUUGGCGCCCGCCUGGGGUGCCGCAACUGAGGAGAGGCCCAAGCCAGAGAGGUUCCAGGUGUGUGUGUGCACACA